CACCCCUCAAUCUGACUGAUUUUGGUCCUUUGUCUGUGAUUGGCUGGCCCAUUACUGGCAGGACUUUUAUGUUGAUAAAUGUAGUUUUUGGACGUGACGUGGGUCUCUCUUUCCGCCCCGCUGUUGUUUUGCCGGCAGAGGACGCCGGCUGGCGUGUGAGCUGCUGCUAGCCGUGAUCAUUAUCCGGUAGAUUUGGUACCUUCAGCCAUUCUUGCGUGGAACUGCACUCUGCUGUGAACUGGCGUUCACUUCGCGCUGCCUAUACUGCACCGGUGUGUACCUCCUUGGUUGGUGUGUUGCCCCAUCAUCUGUGCCCUGUGGCAGGCCUGAUUCGUGGUGCUUACGCCGGCUUUGGAUUGGCCACAGUGGUUGGCCCCUGGGUACCUGACUGCAGUCAGUGGAUGUGUGUGGUCCAAAUUGCGAUUGUUCCGAACCACGGAUCCAUGAUCGGGUUAGCGGUGCCUCUCUGACGCCGUGGGAUUGCUGGCUGCACUCCUCGGAGGUUGCUGUUUUGUUGCCGUCACACUCUGCGCCGGUUCCGACUGGCUCCACCUGCUCGUCCUGCUUUUGUUUGGUUUAAUUAUUUUUAUUUUCUGGCCCAUUUCUUGGGACGCCAGCCUCC